rnacentral:lncRNA from 1 species
UCGUCCUCGGGCUGGUACAUGGGAUCGUAGCUGCAAACGAUGUAGUUCUUUCCAUCCUUGCACUUUGAAAUGCCACAUCCGACCUCGGUAGUUUUGCCCCAGAUCACAGCAAGGUAGUGACCACAUUCCUCUUUGACACAUUUGUUGGACUUGGGGUCAUAGAACUCUUUCUCGGUGACCCAAUAUUUAGUGCCAGCUGCGCCAGUCAUGCCGUCACCCGAGGUCAAGUUCUCACCCCAACGCCCUCUUGAGUGCUCCAUAGCGCAGUCGUCAACUCUUUUGUUGGCAUAUUCUUGGGCAUACUGGGCCAAGGUUGUGUUCCACUUAAGGGGUUUGUUGCCGACCUCUUUACGAGCCUUGUUGUGCUCCUCGAGGAAGCCAUCGAUCUCUGCUUGGGAAAUGUUUGCAGAGACAAGAGUGAAGACCAAUGCGACGCAGCAAAUGGCCAAAAGUAGCUUCGUGUUGAACGCCAUUUUUGUUUCUUGAUAUCAGAAGUUUAAGGUGUUUUCUUUCUAGCAGAGAAGGUUGGAUUGUUAGAUGUUGAUUGAAAUGGAAAUGAGAUUGUGCAUAUUUAUGUAGUUGGGAGGGUCAAAUAUAGGAUCCUAAAAUGGGAGAGUUUGUUAAGUUCUAUAAACAAGCAUGGAGAACAAAUAAAACUUGUGUGGGAUUCCGUCACCGAGUGGAUUUGGUAUCCAUACAAACAUUGUAUUGUCAAACAAUCAAUCCAUACCAUUGAUUAAGUGAAGUUUUAUUUGAAUCCUAUAAUGAGGUGAGGAUUUUUAGCUGCAAUGACUAAAACAUUUAGCUGUACGUUGAGGAUCAAAGUUUUGACUUUGUUAACGAUAUAAAUGAACUUUGUUAUAUGGCCCCUCUGUCAACUUCUUGUAGCUUUUAAAAAUAAAAGUUUAAUGCAUUAUGCUGCUUUCCGAAAUAUAAAGAAAUGAAAGAGGAAGCAAAUUAGUUAGGCAAAAACUCACUUUUCAUCUAAUUUGAUGAAAUUUCCAUGUUUGUCCCUAUAGUUUCAAUUCUAGAAAUUUGACCUAUGUAGUUUGAUUUUAUUGCAAUUUAAAGGAUAUUUCCAAAUUUCCGUCCGAUUUCUUGAUGGAAAAAACACUUGCUCAUACAUGGAGGAGUAUUUUGGAUGGAAAUUUGGAUUUGUCUUUGAAUUGUGAUAGAAUCAAACUACAUUGAUUAAAUUGAUAAAAUUAAAAUUACAUGUGAUAGAAUCAAACUACAUUGAUUUAUUUGACAAAAUUAAAAUUACAUGGACCAAAGUAAAAAAAUCGGGCAAACCACAAGGACCAAAAGUGACAUUAUUUCAAUUAAUUAUGGAUAUAGAGGAAAACGUUUCUCGUGUUUGACAUCUCUUGAUCUUGCAACAACUUUGGGUUCUCAUCCGCUCGAAUUGCCUAGAUCUGGUUGGCAUUGUUUGGGCGAUGAAAAACUCAAGCUAUUUUCUGUAAUACCCUUAAAAAUUAAAGGUGGACUUUCAUAUUUCAGUGAAAAAUAAUACUAUAGUGGAGAAUGAUUAUGGGUAUUUUAUUAAGUAAUUUUGGAUUGAGACUACUCGAUUAAGUGUGUUUAAUUUCAAGUUGGACAUAAAUGCCUUUACAUAACAUUUUGUGAAUUUUUCAAAGCACAUUUAAGAAAUUGAAGUGAGACCAUUCUGAUUCUUAGGUCGGAUGAUAGUAGUCGACCCAAUGAACAUGUAGGAAAUCAUUUCUGCAAUUUUUUCCAAAAUGACCAACAAUACCCCUAUGUGUGAAAAUUACCAAAAUACCCUUGUGGACCCCAAAAAAAAAAGUGUAGGGCAUCAGCCCACUCUCCACCCAAUGUUCCCCAUUGCCUCAAGUUUUUAAAUCAAUAAUCAUUUUGGGGAUGAGUUGGUAUAGGUGAGUUAUUAGCUUAAGGUGUGAGUUGGGAGGCUACUAGAGGGUGAGUCAUCGAGGAUAAGAUUCCCCAAUGAUGAAUCUGAUUUCUUUUAGAGCUAAGUGAGUUUANNNNNNNNNNNNNNNNNNNNNNNNNNNNNNNNNNNNNNNNNNNNNNNNNNNNNNNNNNNNNNNNNNNNNNNNNNNNNNNNNNNNNNNNNNNNNNNNNNNNGAGAGAGAGAGAGAGAGAGAGAGAGAGAGAGAGAGAGAGAGAGAGAGAGAGAGAGAAGAAGAAGAAGAAGAGGAGGAGGAGGAAGAGAAGACUUGGAAAUAAGAGAGAUGUUAUUACUAUUACAUCCAUGAGAGAAUUAAGAAAGAAAAUGUGAGAGGUAGAAAAGAAAAUGGUGAAACAAUUGGAAGGAUGAAAUGUGGGACUCUUGUUCUAAGUUCAUUUUCAAUCCUUGAGUUUUGGUAUAAUUAAUUGUUUGAGCAGAUUUAUAGUUGUAACUGAGUUUGAGAAUGAUUUAUGAACCUUCCGAGGCAUAAGAAAAUCAAAGAAGAAUUUUGAAAUCAAGAUUUUCGGAUUUUGGGUGUGUUGACAAAAGUUUUGGGUUUGGGUGUUCAAACUUUAGAUACAAAUCUUGUUUUUGGGAAGCUUAGGUCAAGGAAAUGAUGUUGGAGUAUAAUUUCGAGUCUUAAGGAUGAUAUUUGAGGUGUUUACAGAGACUCUUGAUAAAAUUCUGAAACUUCGUAUUUUUUUGGAAAUUUCAUUUCAUGGGCCUUACUUUGGCUCUCAUGUUCCUCUGAUUUAUGAAGUAUUUUUGAAAGGUUUUUCAUGUUUUGGAAACUAGGAGUAGCAAGGGUCAAAACCCUUUCGAUUUCACUGAUUUUGUUUAAGUUUUGGGGGACUAAAUAUUGGAGUGAAGUUAGGUUUUCAAAACUGCCGAAACAGAGGAAGCUGGAAAACGAAAAUUCAAAUUUUUGGGUUUGUCUUUGGAUUCGAAAUUCUGACUAACCGUAGUUCUGUUUUCACAAAUCUUUAUAUGUAUUGAAAGCUAAAGUUACAAGCUUCAAUUUGAGUAUGGUCUUGCAAAGAUUUGAUGUUUUUAGACCGUUUUCUAGUAGUGACGGUUGUUUUGCCAUAUGUUUCUUACCAAGUAACGGAUAACUAGUCCCUUAUUAAAAUUUUGGAUAAACCAGUUAGGUUUUUGUCUAGUUGUAUUUUUCUUACCAAUAUAAGAAGUCUUAAAUUUGAUUCUUCACUCACUUGAAGAUGAAACAAAACAUAGACAUAAUUGAUAACAUAUAUUUACAACCAACACAUUCAAAUUUUUAAAAUCUAUAACGACAUAAAGCAAUCCAAGUUCCUACAUCUAAUCACUGCACCCACAAUCUUGACCAGCCUUUUAAUCCAAAAAUUCUUUGAGAUUUUGAAUAAAAAGUUAGGUGACAUUUCAACCUUUACCACAAGUGUUCUAUUAAACUUUAGCUUCCAAUCAUAUGAAGUUCUAAUCUGACUUGAAAUGGUAUAAGAUAUUGUACAAGAUUUGUUAUAUUUACUAGCCUCUUGGCACAUGCUCACGCAUGUACCAAUUGAUUUUCUUUUUUCUUUUAUCUUUUAUUUUUAAAACCAAAAAAAAAAAACCUGGAUAGUAAUAUUCCACAAAAGUAGGACAUAUUAUAUGAUUUUGUUUUUAAUUUUAAUUUUUUAAUAAAUAAAAAGUAAAUUUACCGUAUUAUCCCCAUUUAAUUAUUCAUUUCAAUUCUUAAUGUUUCAAUUAACUAAGGGUAUUUUUUUGUAUUUUGAAUGUUUCGCCAUUCUCUGCCUUUUGUUUAUAUACAUAGAUACUGAGAUGGACUAAAUUUAGCUUACGUGAAUUUUGUGUAAACAAGAAUUAUGUGUAAGCUUCGGUGGGUUGUAAUAUAAUUGUUGGGCUAAGAAAAAAAACCGCACAUGGGCUAUAGCCCAAGUUAAUCUUUACUAAGGACCGUCCCUAGUUGUGAUACAUCCCACAAUCAAAUUGGUCUACAAAUCUCAAUUCAAAAAAUCUCAUAUAUACAAAGAAACCGUGCAUGCAAACACAUGCAUCCAUGAACAAGAAAAUCUUAGGUGGCGUUUGGUAUCUAUUCAAGUAUGAAAUUCAAAACCUUUGAUUUUUCUUUAAAAUAAAGAGUUCUAAAAUCAAAAUUUUAUGAUUCAAAAAUUUGUUUGGUAUUUAAGGAGGGAACUCAAACUUUAAAAACAUGGAGUUUUAAAAUCCAUAGUUUAAGAGUAAAAUCAGUUUGUAGUAAAAAUUCUUAAAAAACCGAUUUGUUUGGGUUUUAAGUAUUUACGUGGUUUUGAGUAACUAGGUCUACCAAACAUAUUUUUUGAAUUUUGGACUCAAUUUAUUUUUUUAAAGUUUAAAAAGUUGAAUUCAAAUAGAAUACCAAACAUACACUUAACAUCCUUUUGAUAUCAUAUUUGUUGUAUUUUUUUAAAAAAAAAUUAAAGACAAAUACGAGAUGGGGAGGCAUUAGACGAUUGAGAUUGAGCAAAAAUAAAAAAAAACAUAAAGAGAAUGAGAUAAUAUUUAGUUAGAAAUUACAAAAAUGAACUAGUAUUAUUCUUUUCAUUUUUUAUCCGUUCUCUUGUCACCUCUCACAACACCAUAUCAAGUAUGGGCGCUUGCAAAAGAAAAAAAAAACACGGGACCUCUCAACAAGCCUCAUGUAAGUGUGCUUACAUACAUCGUCUACUAUGGGCGCUCGUCCUCGGGCUGGUACAUGGGAUCGUAGCUGCAAACGAUGUAGUUCUUUCCAUCCUUGCACUUUGAAAUGCCACAUCCGACCUCAGUAGUUUUCCCCCAGAUCACAGCAAGGUAGUGACCACAUUCCUCUUUGACACAUUUGUUGGACUUGGGGUCAUAGAACUCUUUCUCGGUGACCCAAUAUUUAGUGCCAGCUGCGCCAGUCAUGCCGUCGUCUGAGGUCAAGUUCUCCCCCCAACGCCCUCUUGAGUGCUCCAUAGCGCAGUCGUCAACUCUUUUGUUGGCAUAUUCUUGGGCAUACUAAGCCAAGGUUGUGUUCCACUUAAGGGGUUUGUUACCGACCUCUUUACGAGCCUUGUUGUGCUCCUCGAGGAAGCCAUCGAUCUCUGCUUGGGAAAUGUUUGCAGAGACAAGAGUGAAGACCAAUGCGACGCAGCAGAUGGCCAAAAGAAGCUUCGUGUUGAACGCCAUUUUUGUUUCUUGAUAUCAGAAGUUUAAGGUGUUUUCUUUGUAGCAGAGAAGGUUGGAUUGUUAGAUGUUGACUGAAAUGGGAAAUGAGAUUGUGCAUAUUUAUAUAGUUGGGAGGGUAAAAUAUAGGAUGCUAAAAUGGGAGGGUUUGUUCAGUUCUACAAACAAGCAUGGAGAACAAAUGAAAUUUGUGUGGGAUUGCGUCACCGAGUGGAUUUGGUAUCCAUACAACCAUUGUAUUGUCAGACAAUCAAUCUAUACCAUUGAUUAAGUGAAGUUUUAUUUGAAUCCCAUAAUGAGGUGAGGAUAUUUAGUUGCAAUGACUAAAACAUUCAUCUGUACAUUGAGGAUCAAAGUUUUGAUUUUGUUAACGAUAUAAAUGAACUUUGUUAUAUGGCCCCUCUGUCAACUUCUUGUAGCUUUUAAAAAUAAAAGUUAAAUGCAUUAUGCUGCUUUCUAAAAUAUAAAGAAAUGAAAGAGGAAGAAAAUUAGUUAGGCAAAAACUCACUUUUCAUCUAGUUUGAUGAAAUUUCCACGUUUGUCCCUAUAGUUUCAAUUCCAGCAAUUUGACCUAUGUAGUUUGAUUUUAUUGCAAUUUAAAGGACAUUUCCAAAUUUCCGUCCGAUUUCUUAUGGAAUAAGCACUUGCUCAUAAGUGGGGGAGUAUUUUGGAUGGAAAUUUUGAUUUGUCUUUGAAUUGUGAUAGAAUCAAACUACAUUGAUUAAAUUGAUAAAAUUAAAAUUACAUGUGAUAGAAUCAAACUACAUUGAUUAAAUUGAUAAAAUUAAAAUUACAUAGACCAAAGUAAAAAAAAUUGGGCAAACCACAAGGACCAAAAGUGACAUUAUUUCAAUUAAUUAUGGAUAUAGAGGAAAGCGUUUCUCGUGUUUUGCAUCUCUUGAUCUUGCAACAACUUUGGGUUCUCAUCCACUCGAGUUGCCUAGAUUAGAUUGGCAUUGUUUGGGCGAUGAAAAACUCAUGCUAGUUUUCUGUAAUACCUUGAAAAAUUAAUGGUGAAAUUUCAUAUUUCAGUGAAAAAUAAUACUAUAGUGGAGAAUAAUUAUGGGUAUUUUAUCAAGUAAUUUUGGAUUAAGACUACUGGAUUAAGUGCGUUUAAUUUCAAGUUGGACAUAAAUGCCUUUACAUAACAUUUUGUGAAUUUUUCAAAGGACAUUUAAGAAAUUGAAGUGAGACCAUUCUGAUUCUUAGGUAGACGAUAGUAGUCGACUCAAUGAACACGUAGGAAAUCAUUUCUGCAUUUUUUGCCAAAAUGACCAAAAAUACCCGUAUGUGUGAAAAUUACCAAAAUACACUUGUAGACCCAGCAAAAAAAAAAUUGAAACGUCGAGGGCAUCAGCCCACUCUCCACCCAUUCUUUCCCCAUUGCCUCAAGUUUUCAAAUCAAUAAUCAUUUUGGGGAUGAGUUGGUAUAGGUGAGUUAUUAGCUUAAGGUGUGAGUUGGAAGGCUACUAGAGGGUGAAUCACCUAGGCUAAGAUUCCCCAAUGAUGAAUCUGAUUUCUUUUAGAGCUGAGUUUCUGGUAGGAGAGAGAGAGAGAGAGAGAGAGAGAGAGAGAGAGAGAGAGAGAGAGAGAGAGAGGAAUAAGAAGAAGAAGAAGAGGAGGAGGAGGAGGAGGAGAAGACUUGGAAAUAAGAGAGAUGUUAUUACUAUUACAUCCGUGAGAGAAUUAAGAAAGGAAAUGUGUGAGGUAGAAAAGAAAAUGGUGGAAAUAUUGAAACAAUUGGAAGGAUGAAAGGUGGGAUUCUUGUUCUAAGUUCAUUUUCAAUCCUUGAGUGUUGGUAUCAUUAAUUGUUUGAGUAGAGUUAUCGUUGUUACUGAGUUUGAGAAUGAUAUAUGAACCUUCUGAGGCAUAACAAAAUCACAGAAGAAUUUUGAAAUCAAGAUUUUUGGAUUUUGGGUGUGUUGACAAAUAUUUUGGGUUUGGGUGUUCAAACUUUAGAUCCAAAUAUUGUUUUUGGGAAGCUUAGGUCAAGGAAAUGAUGUUGGAGUAUGAUUUCGAGUCUUAAGGAUGGUAUUUGAGGUGUUUAAAGAGACUCUUGAUAAAAUUCUAAAACUUCGUAUUUUUUUAGAAAUUUCAGUUCAUGGGCCUUAAUUUGGCUCCCGUGUUCCUCUGAUUUAUGAAGUAUUUUUGAAAGGUGUUCCAUGUUUUGGAAACUAGGAAUAGCAAGGGUCAAAAUCCUUUUGAUUUCACUGAUUUUGUUUAAGUUUUGGGGGAUUAAAUAUUGGAGUGAAGUUUGGUUUUCAAAACUGACAAAACAGAGGAAGCUGAAAAACGAAAAUUCAAAUUUUUGGGUUUGUCUUUGGAUUCAAAUUUCUCACUAACUGUAGCUUUGUUUUCACAUAUCUUUAUAUGUAUAGAAAGCUAAGGUUACAAGCUUCAAUUUGUGUAUCGUCUUGCAAGGAUUUGAUGUUUUAAGACCAUUCUCUAGUAGUGACGGUUGUUUAGCCUUAUGUUUCUUACAAAAAUAACGGAUAAUUAGUCCCUUAAUAAAAUUUUUGAUAAACCAGUUUGCUUUUUGUCUAGUUGUAUUUUUCUUUCCAAUAUAAGAAGUCCUAAAUUUGAAUCUUCCCUCGCUUGAAGAUUAAAAAAAACAUAGACAUAAUUGAUAACAUAUAUUUACAACCAACACAUUCAAAUUUUCAAAAUCUAUAAUGACAUAAAGCAAUCCAAGUUCCUACCUCUAAUCACUGCACCCACAAUCUUGACCAAGCGUUUUAAUCCAAAAAUUCUUUGAGACCUUGAAUAAAAAGUUAGGUGACAUUUCAACCUUUACCACAAGUGUUCUAUUAUACUUUAGCUUCCAAUCAUAUGGUAUAAGAUAUCGUACAAGAUUUAUUAUAUUUACUAGCCUCUUGACACAUGCUCACGCAUGUACCAAUUGAUUUUAUUUUUUAUUUUUUAUUUUAUUUUUAAAAUAAAAAAAUAACAUGGAUAGUUACGUUCCACAAAAGUAGGACAUAUUAUAUGAUUUUGUUUUUAAUUUUAAUUUUUUUAAUAUAAAAAAUGUGCAUUUACCGUAUUAUCCUCAAUUAAUUAAUAAUUUCAAUUCUUAAUGUUUCAAUUAACUAAGGGUAUUUUUUGGUAUUUUGAAUGUUCCACCAUUCUCUGCAUUGUGCUUUAUAUACAUAGAUAAUGAGAUGGACUGAAUUUACCUUAUGUGAAUUAUGUGUAAAGAAGUAUUAUGUGUAGGCUUCUGUGGGUUGUAAUAUAAAUGUUGGGCUAAGGAAAAAAACGACACAUGUUCUAUAGCCCAAGUUAAUCUUUACUAAGGACUGUCCCUAGUUAUGAUACAACCCACAAUCAAAUUGGUCUACAAAUCUCAAUUCAAAAAAUCUCAUAUAUACAUAAAGAAACAGUGCAUGCAAACACAUGCAUCCAUGAACAAGAAAAUCUUAGGUGGCGUUUGGUAUCUUUUCGAGUAUGAAAUUCAAAAACUUUGAUUUUUCUUAAAAACAAAGAGUUCUAAAAUCAAAUUUUUAAGAUUCAAAAACUUGGUUGGUAUUCAAGGAGGGCACUCAAACUUUAAAAAUAAGGAGUUCUAAAAUCCAUACUUUAAGAUUAAAAACAGUUUGUAGUAAAAAUUCUUAAAAAACCGAUUUGUUUGGGUUUUAAGUAUUUGCGUGGUUUGGAGUAACUAGGUCUACCAAACAUAUUUUUUGAAUUUUGGACUCAAUUUAUUUUUUUUAAGUUUAAAAAUUUGAAUUCAAAUAGAAUACCAAACAUACACUUAACAUCCUUUUGAUUUCACAUUUGUCGUAUUUUAAAAAAAAAAUAUUAAAAACAAAUACGAGAUGGGGAGGCAUUAGAUGAUUGAGAUUGAGCAAAAAUUAAAAAAAACAUAAAGAGAAUGAGAUAAUAUUUAGUGAGAAAUUACAAAAAAAAANNNNNNNNNNNNNNNNNNNNNNNNNNNNNNNNNNNNNNNNNNNNNNNNNNNNNNNNNNNNNNNNNNNNNNNNNNNNNNNNNNNNNNNNNNNNNNNNNNNNNNNNNNNNNNNNNNNNNNNNNNNNNNNNNNNNNNNNNNNNNNNNNNNNNNNNNNNNNNNNNNNNNNNNNNNNNNNNNNNNNNNNNNNNNNNNNNNNNNNNNNNNNNNNNNNNNNNNNNNNNNNNNNNNNNNNNNNNNNNNNNNNNNNNNNNNNNNNNNUCACAGCAAGGUAGUGACCACAUCCUCUUGACACAUUGUUGGACUUGGGGUCAUAAAACUCUUUCUCGGUGACCCAAUAUUUGGUGCCAGCUGCGCCAGUCAUGCCGUCGCCCGAGGUCAAGUUCUCACCCCAACGCCCCCUUGAGUGCUCCAUUGCGCAGUCGUCAACUCUUUUGUUGGCAUAUUCUUGGGCAUACUGGGCCAAGGUUGUGUUCCACUUAAGGGGUUUGUUGCCAACCUCUUUACGAGCCUUGUUGUGCUCCUCGAGGAAGCCAUCGAUCUCUGCUUGGGAAAUGUUUGCAGAGACAAGAGUGAAGACCAAUGCGACGCAGCAGAUGGCCAAAAGUAGCUUCGUGUUGAACGCCAUUUUUGUUUCUUGAUAUCAGAAGUUUAAGGUGUUUUCUUUGUAGCAGAGAAGGUUGGAUUGUUAGAUGUUGAUUGAAAUGGGAAAUGAGAUUGUGCAUAUUUAUAUAGUUGGGAGGGUUAAAUAUAGGAUCCUAAAAUGGGAGGGUUUGUUAAGUUCUAUAAACAAGCAUGGAGAACAAAUAAAACUUGUGUGGGAUUGCGUCACCGAGUGGAUUUGGUAUCCUUACAAACAUUGUAUUGUCAGACAAUCAAUCUAUACCAUUGAUUCAAUGAAGUUUUAUUUGAAUCCUAUAAUCAGGUGAGGAUUUUUAGCUCCAAUGACUAAAACAUUCAGCUGUACAUUGAGGAUCAAAGUUUUGAUUUUGUUAACGAUAUAAAUGAACUUUGUUAUAUGACUCCUCUGUCAACUUCUUGCAGCUUUUAAAAAUAAAAGUAAACGCAUAUGCUGCUUUCCAAAAUAUAAAGAAUGAAAGAGGAAGCAAAUUAGUUAGGCAAAAACUCACUUUUCAUCUAGUUUGAUGAAAUUUUUCCGUUUGUCCCCUAUAGUUUCAAUUCUAGCAAUUUGACCUAUGUAGUUUGAUUUUAUUGCAAUUUAAAGGACAUUUCCAAAUUUCCGUCCGAUUUCUUGAUGGAAUAAACACUUGCUCAUACGUGGAGGAGUAUUUUGGAUGGAAAUUUGGAUUUGUCUUUGAAUUGUAAUAGAAUCAAACUACAUUGAUUAAAUUGAUAAAAUUAAAAUUACAUGUGAUAGAAUCAAACUACAUUGAUUAAAUUGACAAAAUUAAAAUUACAUGGACCAAAGUAAAAAAAUUGGGCAAGCCACAAAGGAGCAAAAGUGACAUUAUUUCAAUUAAUUAUGGAUAUAGUGGAAAACGUUUCUCGUGUUUUGCAUCUCUUGAUCUUGCAACAACUUUGGGUUCUCAUCCGCUCGAGUUUCCCAGAUCAGAUUGGCAUUGUUUGGGAGAUGAAAAACUCAUGCUAGUUUUCUGUAAUACCCUGAAAAAUUAAAGGGAGACUUUCAUAUUUCAGUGAAAAAUAAUACUAUUGUGGAAAAUGAUUAUGGGUAUUUUAUCAAGGAAUUUUGGAUUGAGACUAUUGGAUUAAGUGUGUUUAAUUUCAAGUUGGACAUAAAUGCCUUUACAUAACAUUUUGUGAAUUUUUCAAAGGACAUUUAAGAAAUUGAAGUGAGACCAUUCUGAUUCUUAGGUAGACGAUAGUAGUCGACUCAAUGAACACGUAGGAAAUCAUUUCUGCAUUUUUUGCCAAAAUGACCAAAAAUACCCGUAUGUGUGAAAAUUACCAAAAUACACUUGUAGACCCAGCAAAAAAAAAAUUGAAACGUCGAGGGCAUCAGCCCACUCUCCACCCAUUCUUUCCCCAUUGCCUCAAGUUUUCAAAUCAAUAAUCAUUUUGGGGAUGAGUUGGUAUAGGUGAGUUAUUAGCUUAAGGUGUGAGUUGGAAGGCUACUAGAGGGUGAAUCACCUAGGCUAAGAUUCCCCAAUGAUGAAUCUGAUUUCUUUUAGAGCUGAGUUUCUGGUAGGAGAGAGAGAGAGAGAGAGAGAGAGAGAGAGAGAGAGAGAGAGAGAGAGAGAGAGGAAUAAGAAGAAGAAGAAGAGGAGGAGGAGGAGGAGGAGAAGACUUGGAAAUAAGAGAGAUGUUAUUACUAUUACAUCCGUGAGAGAAUUAAGAAAGGAAAUGUGUGAGGUAGAAAAGAAAAUGGUGGAAAUAUUGAAACAAUUGGAAGGAUGAAAGGUGGGAUUCUUGUUCUAAGUUCAUUUUCAAUCCUUGAGUGUUGGUAUCAUUAAUUGUUUGAGUAGAGUUAUCGUUGUUACUGAGUUUGAGAAUGAUAUAUGAACCUUCUGAGGCAUAACAAAAUCACAGAAGAAUUUUGAAAUCAAGAUUUUUGGAUUUUGGGUGUGUUGACAAAUAUUUUGGGUUUGGGUGUUCAAACUUUAGAUCCAAAUAUUGUUUUUGGGAAGCUUAGGUCAAGGAAAUGAUGUUGGAGUAUGAUUUCGAGUCUUAAGGAUGGUAUUUGAGGUGUUUAAAGAGACUCUUGAUAAAAUUCUAAAACUUCGUAUUUUUUUAGAAAUUUCAGUUCAUGGGCCUUAAUUUGGCUCCCGUGUUCCUCUGAUUUAUGAAGUAUUUUUGAAAGGUGUUCCAUGUUUUGGAAACUAGGAAUAGCAAGGGUCAAAAUCCUUUUGAUUUCACUGAUUUUGUUUAAGUUUUGGGGGAUUAAAUAUUGGAGUGAAGUUUGGUUUUCAAAACUGACAAAACAGAGGAAGCUGAAAAACGAAAAUUCAAAUUUUUGGGUUUGUCUUUGGAUUCGAAUUUCUCAGUAACCGUAGCUUUGUUUUCACAUAUCUUUAUAUGUAUAGAACGCUAAGGUUACAAGCUUCAAUUUGAGUAUGGUCUUGCAAAGAUUUGAUGUUUUAAGACCGUUUUCUAGUAGUGACGGUUGUUUUGCCAUAUGUUUCUUACCAAAGUAACGGAUAAUUAGUCCCUUAUUAAAAUUUUGGAUAAACUAGUUAGGUUUUUGUCUAGUUGUAUUUUUCUUUCCAAUAUAAGAAGUCUUAAAUUCGAUUCUUCCCUCACUUGAAGAUGAAAAAAAACAUAGACAUAAUUGAUAACAUAUAUUUACAACCAACACAUUCAAAUUUUCAAAAUCUAUAAUGACAUAAACCAAUCCAAAUUCCUACCUCUAAUCACUGCACCCACAAUCUUGACCAAGCGUUUUAAUCCAAAAAUUCUUUGAGAUCUUGAAUAAAAAGUUAGGUGACAUUUCAACCUUUACCACAAGUGUUCUAUUAUACUUUAGCUUCCAAUCAUAUGAAGUUCUAAUCUAACUUGAAAUGGUAUAAGAUAUCAUAGAAGAUUUGUUAUAUUUAGUAGCCUCUUGGCACAUGCUCUCGCAUGUACUAAUUGGUUUUCUUUUUUCUUUUUUCUUUCAUUUUUAAAAUAAAUAAAAAAACAUGGAUAGUUAUGUUCCACAAAAGUAGGACAUAUUAUAUGAUUUUGUUUUUAAUUUUAAUUUUUUUAGUAUAAAAAAUGUGAAUUUACCGUAUUAUCCCCAUUUAGUUAUUCAUUUCAAUUCUUAAUGUUUCAAUUAACUAAGGGUAUUUUUUGGUAUUUUGAAUGUUUCACUAUUUUCUGCCUUUUGUUUUAUAUACAUAGAUAAUGAGAUGGACUAAAUUUACUUUAUGUGAAUUAUGUGUAAAGAAGUAUUAUGUGUAGGCUUUAGUGGGUUGUAAUAUAAAUUUUGGGCUAAGAAAAAAAACCGCACAUGGGCUAUAGCCCAAGUUAAUUUUUACUAAGGACCGUCCCUAGUUAUGAUACAACCCACAAUCAAAUUGGUCUACAAAUCUCAAUUCAAAAAAUCUCAUAUAUACAUAAAGAAACGGUGCAUGCAAACACAUGCAUCCAUGAACAAGAAAAUCUUAAGUGGUGUUUGGUAUCUAUUCCAGUAUGAAAUUCAAAACCUUUGAUUUUUCCUAAAAAUAAAGAGUUCGAAAAUUAAAUUUUUAAGAUUCAAAAACUUGUUUGGUAUCCAAGGAGGGAACUCAAACUUUAAAAACAAGGAGUUCUAAAAUCGUACUUUAAGAUUAAAAACAGUUUGUAGUAAAAAUUCUUAAAAAACCGAUUUGUUUGGGUUUUAAGUAUUUGCGUGGUUUUGAGUAACUAGGUAUACCAAAAAUAUUUUUUGAAUUUUGGACUCAAUUUAUUUUUUUAAAGUUUAAAAAGUUGAAUUCAAAUAGAAUACCAAACAUAUACUUAACAUCCUUUUGAUAUCACAUUUGUCGUAUUUAAAAAAAAAAAAAUAAAGACAAAUACGAGAUUGGGAGACAUUAGACGAUUGAGAUUGAGCCAAAAAAAAAAACAUAAAGAGAAUGAGAUAACAUUUACUUAGAAAUUACAAAAAUGAACUAGUAUUAUUCUUUUCAUUUUUUAUCCAUUCUCUUGUCACCUCUCACAAUACCAUAUCAAGUAUGGGUGCUCGCAAAAGAAAAAAAAAACAUGGGACCUCUCAACAGGCCUUAUGUAAGUGUGCAUACAUACAUCGUCUAGUAUGGACGCUCGUCCUCGGGCUGGUACAUGGGAUCGUAGCUGCAAACGAUGUAGUUCUUUCCAUCCUUGCACUUUGAAAUCCCACAUCCGACCUCGGUGGUUUUGCCCCAGAUCACAGCAAGGUAGUGACCACAUUCCUCUUUGACACAUUUGUUGGACUUGGGGUCAUAAAACUCUUUCUCGGUGACCCAAUAUUUGGUGCCAGCUGCGCCAGUCAUGCCGUCGCCCGAGGUCAAGUUCUCACCCCAACGCCCCCUUGAGUGCUCCAUUGCGCAGUCGUCAACUCUUUUGUUGGCAUAUUCUUGGGCAUACUGGGCCAAGGUUGUGUUCCACUUAAGGGGUUUGUUGCCAACCUCUUUACGAGCCUUGUUGUGCUCCUCGAGGAAGCCAUCGAUCUCUGCUUGGGAAAUGUUUGCAGAGACAAGAGUGAAGACCAAUGCGACGCAGCAGAUGGCCAAAAGAAGCUUCGUGUUGAACGCCAUUUUUGUUUCUUGAUAUCAGAAGUUUAAGGUGUUUUCUUUGUAGCAGAGAAGGUUGGAUUGUUAGAUGUUGACUGAAAUGGGAAAUGAGAUUGUGCAUAUUUAUAUAGUUGGGAGGGUAAAAUAUAGGAUGCUAAAAUGGGAGGGUUUGUUCAGUUCUACAAACAAGCAUGGAGAACAAAUGAAAUUUGUGUGGGAUUGCGUCACCGAGUGGAUUUGGUAUCCAUACAACCAUUGUAUUGUCAGACAAUCAAUCUAUACCAUUGAUUAAGUGAAGUUUUAUUUGAAUCCCAUAAUGAGGUGAGGAUAUUUAGUUGCAAUGACUAAAACAUUCAUCUGUACAUUGAGGAUCAAAGUUUUGAUUUUGUUAACGAUAUAAAUGAACUUUGUUAUAUGGCCCCUCUGUCAACUUCUUGUAGCUUUUAAAAAUAAAAGUUAAACGCAUUAUGCUGCUUUCCAAAAUAUAAAGAAAUGAAAGAGGAAGCAAAUUAGUUAGGCAAAAACUCACUUUUCAUCUAAUUUAAUGAAAUUUUCACGUUUGUCCCUAUAGUUUCAAUUCUAGCAAUUUGACCUAUGUAGUCUGAUUUUAUUUCAAUUUAAAGGACAUUUCCAAAUUUCCGUCUGAUUUCUUGAUGGAAUAAACACUUGCUCAUACAUGGAGGAGUAUUUUGGAUGGAAAUUUGGAUUUGUCUUUGAAUUGUGAUAGAAUCAAACUACAUUGAUUAAAUUGAUAAAAUUAAAAUUACAUGUGAUAGAAUCAAACUACAUUGAUUUAUUUGACAAAAUUAAAAUUACAUGGACCAAAGUAAAAAAAUCGGACAAACCACAAGGACCAAAAGUGACAUUAUUUCAAUUAAUUAUGGAUGUAGAGGAAAACGUUUCCCAUGUUUUGCAUCUCUUCAUCUUGCAACAACUUUGGGUUCUCAUCCGCUCGAAUUGCCUAGAUCUGGUUGGCAUUGUUUGGGCGAUGAAAAACUCAAGCUAUUUUCUGUAAUACCCUUAAAAAUUAAAGGUGGACUUUCAUAUUUCAGUGAAAAAUAAUACUAUAGUGGAGAAUGAUUAUGGAUAUUUUAUCAAGUAAUUUUGGAUGGAGACUACUGGAUUAAGUGUGUUUAAUUUCAAGUUGGACAUAAAUGCCUUUACAUAACAUUUUGUGAAUUUUUCAAAGGACAUUUUUAAGAAAUUGAAGUGAGACCAUUCUGAUUCUUAGGUCGGAUGAUAGUAGUCGACCCAAUGAACAUGUAGGAAAUCAUUUCUGCAAUUUUUUCCAAAAUGACCAACAAUACCCCUAUGUGUGAAAAUUACCAAAAUACCCUUCAUGACCCAAAAAAAGGAAAAAAUUGAAAUGUGGAGGGCAUCAGCCGACUCUCCACCCAUUCUUUCCCCAUUGCCUCAAGUUUUUAAAUCAAUAAUCAUUUUGGGGAUGAGUUGGUAUAGGUGAGUUAUUAGCUUAAGGUGUGAGUUGGGAGGCUACUAGAGGGUGAGUCAUCGAGGAUAAGAUUCCCCAAUGAUGAAUCUGAUUUCUUUUAGAGCUGAGUUUCUGGUGGGAGAGAGAGAGAGAGAGAGAGAGAGAGAGAGAGAGAGAGAGAGAGAGAGAGAGAGAUUAAGAAGAAGGAGAAGAGGAGGAGGAGGAGGAGGAGAAGACUUGGAAAUAAGAGAGAUGUUAUUACUAUUACAUCCGUGAGAGAAUUAAGAAAGGAAAUGUGUGAGGUAGAAAAGAAAAUGGUGGAAAUAUUGAAACAAUUGGAAGGAUGAAAGGUGGGAUUCUUGUUCUAAGUUCAUUUUCAAUCCUUGAGUGUUGGUAUCAUUAAUUGUUUGAGUAGAGUUAUCGUUGUUACUGAGUUUGAGAAUGAUAUAUGAACCUUCUGAGGCAUAACAAAAUCACAGAAGAAUUUUGAAAUCAAGAUUUUUGGAUUUUGGGUGUGUUGACAAAUAUUUUGGGUUUGGGUGUUCAAACUUUAGAUCCAAAUAUUGUUUUUGGGAAGCUUAGGUCAAGGAAAUGAUGUUGGAGUAUGAUUUCGAGUCUUAAGGAUGGUAUUUGAGGUGUUUAAAGAGACUCUUGAUAAAAUUCUAAAACUUCGUAUUUUUUUAGAAAUUUCAGUUCAUGGGCCUUAAUUUGGCUCCCGUGUUCCUCUGAUUUAUGAAGUAUUUUUGAAAGGUGUUCCAUGUUUUGGAAACUAGGAAUAGCAAGGGUCAAAAUCCUUUUGAUUUCACUGAUUUUGUUUAAGUUUUGGGGGAUUAAAUUUCGAGGGAAGUUAGGUUUUCAAAACUGCCGAAACAGAGGAAGCUGGAAAACGAAAAUUCAAAUUUUUGGGUUUGUCUUUGGAUUCGAAUUUCUGACUAAUCGUAGCUCUGUUUUCACAUAUCUUUAUAUGUAUCGAAAGCUAAGGUUACAAGCUUCAAUUUGAGUAUGGUCUUGCAAAGAUUUGAUGUUUUAAGACCGUUUUCUAGCAGUGACGGUUGUUUAGCCAUAUGUUUCUUACCAAAGGAAUGGAUAAUUAGUCCCUUAUUAAAAUUUUGGAUAAACCAGUUAGGUUUUUGUCUAGUUGUAUUUUUGCUUCCAAUAUAAGAAGUCUUAAAUUUGAUUCUUCCCUCACUUGAAGAUGAAAAAAAACAUACACAUAAUUGAUAACAUAUAUUUACAACCAACACAUUCAAAUUUUCAAAAUCUAUAAUGACAUAAAGCAAUCCAAGUUCCUACCUCUAAUCACUGCACCCACAAUCUUGACCAAGCGUUUUAAUCCAAAAAUUCUUUGGGAUCUUGAAUAAAAAUUUAGGUGACUUUUCAACCUUUACCACAAGUGUUCUAUUAUACUUUAGCUUCCAAUCAUAUGAAGUUCUAAUCUGACUUGAAAUGGUAUAAGAUAUCAUAGAAGAUUUGUUAUAUUUACAAGCCUCUUGGCACAUGCUCACGCAUGUACCAAUUGGUUUUAUUUUUUAUUUUUUAUUUUAUUUUUAAAAUAAAAAAAAUAACGUGGAUAGUUAUGUUCCACAAAAGUAGGACAUAUUAUAUGAUUUUGUUUUUAAAUUUUUUUAAUAUAAAAAAUGUGAAUUUUCCGUAUUAUCCCCAUUUAAUUAUUCAUUUCAAUUCUUAAUGUUUCAAUUAACUGAGGGUAUUUUUUGGUAUUUUGAAUGUUUCACCAUUCUCUGCCUUUUGUUUUAUAUACAUAGAUAAUGAGAUGGACUAAAUUUACCUUAUGUGAAUUAUGUGUAAAGAAGUAUUAUGUGUAGGCUUCGGUGGGUUGUAAUAUAAAUGUUGGGCUAAGAAAAAAAAAACGCACGUGGGCUAUAGCCCAAGUUAAUCUUUACUAAGGACAGUCCCAAGUUAUGAUACAACCCACAAUCAAAUUGGUCUACAAAUCUCAAUUCAAAAAAUCUCAUAUAUACAUAAAGAAACGGUGCAUGUAAACACAUGCAUCCAUGAACAAGAAAAUCUUAGGUGGCAUUUGGUAUCUAUUCAAGUAUGAAAUUUAGAUCAAGAAAAUCUGAGUUUGAGAAUGAUUUAUGAACCUUCUGAGGCAUAAGAAAAUCAAAGAAGAAUUUUGAAAUCAAGAUUAUCGGAUUUUGGGUGUGUUGAAUUUUUUUUGUGUUUUGGUGUUCAAACUUUAGAUCCAAAUCUUGUUUUUGGAAAGCUUUGGUCAAGGAAAUGAUGUUGGAGUAUGAUUUCGAGUCUUAAGGAUGCUAUUUGAGGUGUUGAAAGAGACUCUUGAUAAAAUUCUGAAACUCCAUAUAUUUUUGGAAAUUUCAGUUCAUGGGCCUUACUUUGGCUCUCAUGUUCCUCAGAUUUAUGAAUUUUUGAAAGGUUUUUCAUGUUUUGGAAACUAGGCAUAGCAAGGGUCAAAACCCUUUUGAUUUCACUGAUUAUGUUGAAGUUUUGGGAGAUUAAAUAUUGGAGUGAAUUUAGGUUUCCAAAACUGCCCAAACAGAGGAACUGGAAAACGAAAAUUUAAAUUUUUGGGUCUGUCUUUGGAUUCAAAUUUCUCACUAACUGUACCUCUGUUUUCACAUAUCUUUAUAUGUAUAGAAAGCUAAGGUUACAAGCUUCAAUUUGAGUACGGUCUUGCAAAGAGUUGAUGUUUUAAGACCGUUGUCUAGUAGUGACGGUUGUUUAGCCUUACGUUUCUUACCAAAGUAAUAGAUAAUUAGUCCCAUAUUAAAAUUUUGGAUAAACCAGUUAUGUUUUUGUCUAGUUGUAUUUUUCUUUCCAAUAUAAGAAGUCUUAAAUUCGAUUCUUCCCUCACUUGAAGAUGAAAAAAAACAUAGACAUAAUUGAUAACAUAUAUUUACAACCAACACAUUCAAAUUUUCAAAAUCUACAAUGACAUAAAGCAAUCCAAGUAGUCUUGACCAAGCGUUUUAAUCCAAAAAUUCUUUGAGAUCUUGAAUAAAAGGUUAGGUGACAUUUCAACCUUCACCACAAGUGUUCUAUUAAACUUUAGCUUCCAGUCAUAUGAAGUUCUAAUCUGACUUGAAAUGGUAUAAGAUAUCGUACAAGAUUUGUUAUAUUUACUACCCAAUUGGUUUUCUUUUUUAUUUCUUAUUUUAUUUUUAAAAUAUAAAAAAAGAUAACAUGGAUAGUUAUGUUCCACAAAAGUAUGACAUAUUAUAUGAUUUUGUUUUUAAUUUUAAUUUUUUUAAUAUAAAAAAUGUGAAUUUACCGUAUUAUCCUCAUUUAAUUAAUAAUUUCAAUUCUUGACGUUUCAAUUAACUAAGGAUAUAUUUUAGUAUUUUGAAUGUUUCACCAUUCUCUGUCUUUUGCUUUAUAUACAUAGAUAAUGAGAUGGACUAAAUUUACCUUACGUGAAUUAUGUGUAAAGAAGUAUUAUGCGUAGGCUUCAGUGGGUUGUAAUAUAAAUGUUGGCUAAGAAAAAAAACCACACAUGGGCUAUAGCCCAAGUUAAUCUUUACUAAGGAUCGUCCCUAGUUAUGAUACAACCCACAAUCAAAUUGGUCUACAAAUCUCAAUUCAAAAAAUCUCAUAUAUACAUAAAGAAACGGUGCAUGCAAACACAUGCAUCCAUGAACAAGAAAAUCUUAGGUGGCGUUUGGUAUCUAUUCAAGUAUGAAAUUCAAAAACUAUAAUUUUUCUAAAAACAAAGAGUUCUAAAAUCAAAUUUUUAAGAUUCAAAAACUUGUUUGGUAUUCAAGGAGGGAACUCAAACUUUAAAAACAAGGAGUUCUAAAAUCCAUACUUUAAGAUUAAAAACAGUUUGUAGUAAAAAGUCUUAAAAAACCGAUUUGUUUGGGUUUUAAGUAUUUGCGUGGUUUGGAGUAACUAGGUCUACCAAACAUAUUUUUUGAAUUUUGGACUUAAUUUUUUUUUUUUAAAGUUUAAAAAGUUGAAUUCAAAUAGAAUACCAAACAUACACUUAACAUCCUUUUGAUAUCACAUUUGUCUUAUUGUUUUUAACAAAUUAAAGACAAAUGCGAGAUGGGGAGGCAUUAGACGAUUGAGAUUGAGCAAAAACAAAAGAAAAAAUAAAGAGAAUGAGAUAAUAUUUAGUUAGAAAUUACAAAAAUGAAAUAAUAUUAUUCUAUCCAUUUUUUAUCCAUUCUCUUGUCACCUCUCACAAUACCAUAUCAAGUAUGGGCGCUCGAAAAAGAAAAAAAAAAACACGGGACCUCUCAACGGCCCUCAUGUAAGUGUGCAUACAUACAUCAUCUAGUAUGGGCGCUCGUCCUCGGGCUGGUACAUGGGAUCGUAGCUGCAAACAAUGUAGUUCUUUCCAUCCUUGCACUUUGAAAUGCCACAUCCGACCUCGGUGGUUUUGCCCCAGAUCACAGCAAGGUAGUGACCACAUUCCUCUUUGACACAUUUGUUGGACUUGGGGUCAUAGAACUCUUUCUCGGUGACCCAAUAUUUAGUGCCAGCUGCGCCGGUCAUGCCGUCGCCCGAGGUCAAGUUCUCACCCCAACGCCCCCUUGAGUGCUCCAUAGCGCAAUCGUCAACUCUUUUGUUGGCAUAUUCUUGGGCAUACUGGGCCAAGGUUGUGUUUCACUUAAGGGGUUUGUUGCCGACCUCUUUACGAGCCUUGUUGUGCUCCUCGAGGAAGCCAUUGAUCUCUGCUUGGGAAAUGUUUGCAGAGACAAGAGUGAAGACCAAUGCGACGCAGCAGAUGGCCAAAAGAAGCUUCGUGUUGAACGUCAUUUUUGUUUCUUGAUAUCAGAAGUUUAAGGUGUUUUCUUUGUAGCAGAGAAGGUUGGAUUGUUAGAUGUUGAUUGAAAUGGGAAAUGAGAUUGUGCAUAUUUAUAUAGUUGGGAGGGUUAAAUAUAGGAUCCUAAAAUGGGAGGAUUUGUUAAGUUCUAUAAACAAGCAUGGAGAUCAAAUAAAACUUGUAUGGGAUAACGAGUGGAUUUGGUAUCCAUACAAACAUUGUAUUGUCAGACAAUCAAUCUCUACCAUUGAUUAAGUGAAGUUUUAUUUGAAUCCUAUAAUUAGGUGAGGAUUUUUAGCUGCAAUGACUAAAACACUCAGCUGUAUACUGAUGAUGAAAUUUUUGACUUUGUUAACGAUAUAAAUGAACUUUGUUACAUGGCCCCUCUGUCAACUUCUUGUAGCUUUUAAAAAUAAAAGUUAAAUGCAUUAUGCUGCUUUCCAAAAUAUAAAGAAAUGAAAGAGGAAGCAAAUUAGUUAGGCAAAAACUCACUUUUCAUCUAGUUUGAUGAAAUUUUUCCGUUUGUCCCUAUAGUUUCAAUUCUAGCAAUUUGACCUAUGUAGUUUGAUUUUAUUGCAAUUUAAAGGACAUUUCCAAAUUUCCGUCCGAUUUCUUGAUGGAAUAAACACUUGCUCAUACGUGGAGGAGUAUUUUGGAUGGAAAUUUGGAUUUGUCUUUGAAUUGUAAUAGAAUCAAACUACAUUGAUUAAAUUGAUAAAAUUAAAAUUACAUGUGAUAGAAUCAAACUACAUUGAUUAAAUUGACAAAAUUAAAAUUACAUGGACCAAAGUAAAAAAAUUGGGCAAGCCACAAAGGAGCAAAAGUGACAUUAUUUCAAUUAAUUAUGGAUAUAGUGGAAAACGUUUCUCGUGUUUUGCAUCUCUUGAUCUUGCAACAACUUUGGGUUCUCAUCCGCUCGAGUUCCCAGAUCAGAUUGGCAUUGUUUGGGAGAUGAAAAACUCAUGCUAGUUUUCUGUAAUACCCUGAAAAAUUAAAGGGAGACUUUCAUAUUUCAGUGAAAAAUAAUACUAUUGUGGAAAAUGAUUAUGGGUAUUUUAUCAAGGAAUUUUGGAUUGAGACUAUUGGAUUAAGUGUGUUUAAUUUCAAGUUGGACAUAAAUGCCUUUACAUAACAUUUUGUGAAUUUUUCAAAGGACAUUUAAGAAAUUGAAGUGAGACCAUUCUGAUUCUUAGGUAGGACAAUAGUAGUUGACUCAAUGAACACGUAGGAAAUCAUUUCUGCAUUUUUUGCGAAAAUGACCAAAAAUACCCUUAUGUGUGAAAAUUACCGAAAUAAGCUUGUAGACCCAGAAAAAAAAAAUUGAAACGUGGAGGGCAUCAGCCCACUUUCCGCCCAUUCUUUCUCCAUUGCCUCAAGUUUUCAAAUCAAUAAUCAUUUGGGGGAUGAGUUGGUGUAGGUGAGUUAUUAGCUUAAGGUGUGAGUUGGAAGGCUACUAGAGGGUGAGUCACCUAGGCUAAGAUUCCCAAAUGAUGAAUCUGAUUUCUUUUAGAGCUAAGUGAGUUUCUGGUGGGAGGGGAAGAUAAUGAGAGAGAGAGAGAGAGAGAGGAGAAGAAGAAGAAGAAGAAGAAGAAGAGGAGGAGGAGGAGAAGACUUGGAAAUAAGGGAGAUGUUAUUACGAUUAUAUCCAUGAGAGGAUUAAGAAAGAAAAUGGUGGAAAUAUUGAAUCAAUUGGAAUGAUGAAAGGUGGGACUCUUGUUCUAAGUUCAUUUUUAAUCCUUGAGUUUUGGUAUAAUUAAUUGUUUGAGUAGAUUUAUAGUUGUAACUGAGUUUGAGAAUGAUUUAUGAACCUUCUAAGGCAUAAGAAAAUCAAAGAAGAAUUUUGAAAUCAAGAUUUAAUGAUUUUGUGUGUGUUGAUAAAUUUUUGGGUUUGGGUGUUCAAACUUUGGAUCCAAAUCUUGUUUUUGGGAAGCUUAGGUCAAGGAAAUGAUGUUGGAGCAUGAUUUCGAGUCUUAAGGAUGGUAUUUGAGGUGUUGAAAGAGAUUCUUUGUAAAAUUCUAAAACUUCGUAUUUUUUUGGAAAUUUCAGUUCAUGGGCCUCACUUUGGCUCUCAUGUUCCUCUGAUUUAUGAAGUAUUUUUGAAAGGUUUUUCAAGUUUUGGAAACUAGGAAUAGCAAGGGUCAAAACCCUUUUGAUUUCACUGAUUUUGUUUAAGUUUUGGGGGAUUAAAUGUCAGAGUGAAGUUAGGUUUUCAAAACUGUCGAAACAGAGGAAGCUGGAAAACGAAAAUUCAAAUUUUUGGGUUUGUCUUUGGAUUCAAAUUUCUCACUAACUGUAGCUUUGUUUUCACAUAUCUUUAUAUGUAUAGAAAGCUAAGGUUACAAGCUUCAAUUUGUGUAUCGUCUUGCAAGGAUUUGAUGUUUUAAGACCAUUCUCUAGUAGUGACGGUUGUUUAGCCUUAUGUUUCUUACAAAAAUAACGGAUAAUUAGUCCCUUAAUAAAAUUUUUGAUAAACCAGUUUGCUUUUUGUCUAGUUGUAUUUUUCUUUCCAAUAUAAGAAGUCCUAAAUUUGAAUCUUCCCUCGCUUGAAGAUUAAAAAAAACAUAGACAUAAUUGAUAACAUAUAUUUACAACCAACACAUUCAAAUUUUCAAAAUCUAUAAUGACAUAAAGCAAUCCAAGUUCCUACCUCUAAUCACUGCACCCACAAUCUUGACCAAGCGUUUUAAUCCAAAAAUUCUUUGAGACCUUGAAUAAAAAGUUAGGUGACAUUUCAACCUUUACCACAAGUGUUCUAUUAUACUUUAGCUUCCAAUCAUAUGGUAUAAGAUAUCGUACAAGAUUUAUUAUAUUUACUAGCCUCUUGACACAUGCUCACGCAUGUACCAAUUGAUUUUAUUUUUUAUUUUUUAUUUUAUUUUUAAAAUAAAAAAAUAACAUGGAUAGUUACGUUCCACAAAAGUAGGACAUAUUAUAUGAUUUUGUUUUUAAUUUUAAUUUUUUUAAUAUAAAAAAUGUGCAUUUACCGUAUUAUCCUCAAUUAAUUAAUAAUUUCAAUUCUUAAUGUUUCAAUUAACUAAGGGUAUUUUUUGGUAUUUUGAAUGUUCCACCAUUCUCUGCAUUGUGCUUUAUAUACAUAGAUAAUGAGAUGGACUGAAUUUACCUUAUGUGAAUUAUGUGUAAAGAAGUAUUAUGUGUAGGCUUCUGUGGGUUGUAAUAUAAAUGUUGGGCUAAGGAAAAAAACGACACAUGUUCUAUAGCCCAAGUUAAUCUUUACUAAGGACUGUCCCUAGUUAUGAUACAACCCACAAUCAAAUUGGUCUACAAAUCUCAAUUCAAAAAAUCUCAUAUAUACAUAAAGAAACAGUGCAUGCAAACACAUGCAUCCAUGAACAAGAAAAUCUUAGGUGGCGUUUGGUAUCUUUUCGAGUAUGAAAUUCAAAAACUUUGAUUUUUCUUAAAAACAAAGAGUUCUAAAAUCAAAUUUUUAAGAUUCAAAAACUUGGUUGGUAUUCAAGGAGGGCACUCAAACUUUAAAAAUAAGGAGUUCUAAAAUCCAUACUUUAAGAUUAAAAACAGUUUGUAGUAAAAAUUCUUAAAAAACCGAUUUGUUUGGGUUUUAAGUAUUUGCGUGGUUUGGAGUAACUAGGUCUACCAAACAUAUUUUUUGAAUUUUGGACUCAAUUUAUUUUUUUUAAGUUUAAAAAUUUGAAUUCAAAUAGAAUACCAAACAUACACUUAACAUCCUUUUGAUUUCACAUUUGUCGUAUUUUAAAAAAAAAAAUAUUAAAAACAAAUACGAGAUGGGGAGGCAUUAGAUGAUUGAGAUUGAGCAAAAAUUAAAAAAAACAUAAAGAGAAUGAGAUAAUAUUUAGUGAGAAAUUACAAAAAAAAAAUGAAAUAAUAUUAUUCUUUUCAUUUUUUAUCCAUUCUCUUGUCACCUCUCACAAUACCAUAUCAAGUAUGGGCGCUCGCAAAAGAAAAACAAACAUGAGAGCUCUCAACAGGCCUGAUGUAAGUGUGCGUACAUACAUCGUCUAGUAUGGGCGCUCGUCCUCGGGCUGGUACAUGGGAUCGUAGCUGCAAACGAUGUAGUUCUUUCCAUCCUUGCACUUUGAAAUGCCACAUCCGACCUCGGUGGUUUUUCCCCAGAUCACAGCAAGGUAGUGACCACAUUCCUCUUUGAGACAUUUGUUGGACUUGGGGUCAUAGAACUCUUUCUCGGUGACCCAAUAUUUAGUCCCAGUUGCACCGGUCAUGCCAUCACCUGAGGUCAAGUUCUCACCCCAACGCCCCCUUGAGUGCUCCAUAGCGCAGUCAUCAACUCUUUUGUUGGCAUAUUCUUGGGCAUACUGGGCCAAG